rnacentral:rRNA from 1 species
CGCAGCCGCGGGAAUACGUAGGUGGCAAGCGUUGUCCGGAAUUAUUGGGCGUAAAGGGCUCGCAGGCGGUUUCUUAAGUCUGAUGUGAAAGCCCCCGGCUCAACCGGGGAGGGUCAUUGGAAACUGGGAAACUUGAGUGCAGAAGAGGAGAGUGGAAUUCCACGUGUAGCGGUGAAAUGUGUAGAGAUGUGGAGGAACACCAGUGGCGAAGGCGACUCUCUGGUCUGUAACUGACGCUGAGGAGCGAAAGCGUGGGGAGCGAACAGGAUUAGAUACCCGAGUAGUCCCUGUCUCUUAUACA